UACGAACGCUGGCGGCGUGCUUAACACAUGCAAGUCGUACGGUAAGGCCCUUUCGGGGGUACACGAGUGGCGAACGGGUGAGUAACACGUGAGUAACCUGCCCACAACUUUGGGAUAACGCUAGGAAACUGGUGCUAAUACUGGAUAUGUGCUCCUGCUGCAUGGUGGGGGUUGGAAAGCUCCGGCGGUUGUGGAUGGACUCGCGGCCUAUCAGCUUGUUGGUGGGGUAGUGGCCUACCAAGGCGGCGACGGGUAGCCGGCCUGAGAGGGUGACCGGCCACAUUGGGACUGAGAUACGGCCCAGACUCCUACGGGAGGCAGCAGUGGGGAAUAUUGCACAAUGGGCGCAAGCCUGAUGCAGCAACGCCGCGUGCGGGAUGACGGCCUUCGGGUUGUAAACCGCUUUCAGCAGGGACGAAGCUUUUUGUGACGGUACCUGCAGAAGAAGCACCGGCUAACUACGUG
rnacentral:rRNA from 1 species